rnacentral:rRNA from 2 species
CUUAAGCAUAUCAAUAAGCGGAGGAAAAGAAACUAACAAGGAUUCCCCUAGUAACUGCGAGUGAAGCGGGAAAAGCUCAAAUUUAAAAUCUGGCAGUCUUUGGCUGUCCGAGUUGUAGUCUGGAGAAGUGCUUUCCGUGCUGGACCGUGUACAAGUCUCUUGGAACAGAGCGUCACAGAGGGUGAGAAUCCCGUCUUUGACACGGACUACCAGUGCUUUGUGAUGCGCUCUCAAAGAGUCGAGUUGUUUGGGAAUGCAGCUCAAAAUGGGUGGUAAAUUCCAUCUAAAGCUAAAUAUUGGCGAGAGACCGAUAGCGAACAAGUACCGUGAGGGAAAGAUGAAAAGCACUUUGGAAAGAGAGUUAAACAGUACGUGAAAUUGCUGAAAGGGAAACGCUUGAAGUCAGUCGCGUUGGCCGGAACUCAGCCUUGCUUUUGCUUGGUGCAUUUUCUGGUUGACGGGCCAGCAUCAAUUUUGAUUGUCGGAUAAAGGCUAGGGGAAUGUGGCAUCUUCGGAUGUGUUAUAGCCCUUGGUCACAUACGAUGGUUGGGAUUGAGGAUCUCAGCACACCUUUAUGGUCGGGGUUCGCCCACGCUUUGUGCUUAGGAUGCUGGCGUAAUGGCUUUAAACGACCCGUCUUGAAACACGGACCAAGGAGUCUAACAUGCCUGCGAGUGUUUGGGUGGUAAACCCGAGCGCGCAAUGAAAGUGAAAGUUGAGACCCCUGUCAUGGGGGGCAUCGACGCCCGGACCAGACCUUCUGUGACGGCUCCGCGGUAGAGCAUGUAUGUUGGGACCCGAAAGAUGGUGAACUAUGCCUGAAUAGGGUGAAGCCAGAGGAAACUCUGGUGGAGGCUCGUAGCGAUUCUGACGUGCAAAUU